AGUUUGUUUUUCACACUUCAUUAAGCAAGGCAAUGAAACAAGGCUGUUGUGCUUCUUAUUGAUUCUCCUUUGUGUCCAAAGUCAGUUUAUCUUUCUAGAUGUUGGGCAACAGUAAACUGUUUUCUUUUCUAGCACAGAUGAGAUAGCUAUCUGCACAAACUUUAAAAAUGAGCAAAUUGCCAUCGUCUUCCACAGGGUGAUUUCUGGUCUUCCUUCGGAUGCAGAUUUUUCCAUGCAAUUAAUUAAAAGAUACAUUGCACCAUAAAAAGAGAUAGCAUAUAUAGAGGUCAGAAAGACAGCCUGCUUAACCCAAAAGUUGAUAUUGGAGAAGACAUACAAACAGAGGCUGAAGUGGAGGUGGCUGAGAUUUAUCGUCUAAAAGCGACUUUGCAGUGUCCCCUUGGAAAGAGCAGAGUGGCACAGCCCCUGGAUGACACGCAGAUGGAAACCUUCCCUUAGGAAGAAAGGCCAGCCAGAUGUCUCUGCUCUCCUUCCUCCACACCUUUACCUGCCAUCCUUGAGACUGCCGUGCUCACAGCGGGGUGUUUGCAAGCACUGGGAGGACGAGGACGAGGACGACAGGCUCCCUAAAAUCCUGGCUCC